rnacentral:rRNA from 1 species
CCUACGGGUGGCUGCAGUGGGGAAUAUUGGACAAUGGGCGAAAGCCUGAUCCAGCCAUGCCGCGUGUGUGAAGAAGGCCUUCGGGUUGUAAAGCACUUUCAGUGGGGAAGAAAGCCUUGGGGCUAAUACCCUCGAGGAAGGACAUCACCCACAGAAGAAGCACCGGCUAACUCCGUGCCAGCAGCCGCGGUAAUACGGAGGGUGCGAGCGUUAAUCGGAAUUACUGGGCGUAAAGCGCGCGUAGGCGGUCUGAUAAGCCGGUUGUGAAAGCCCCGGGCUCAACCUGGGAACGGCAUCCGGAACUGUCAGGCUAGAGUGCAGGAGAGGAAGGUAGAAUUCCCGGUGUAGCGGUGAAAUGCGUAGAGAUCGGGAGGAAUACCAGUGGCGAAGGCGGACUUCUGGACUGACACUGACGCUGAGGUGCGAAAGCGUGGGUAGCAAACAGGAUUAGAUACCCCAGUAGUC